AGUGAACGCUGGCGGCAGGCCUAACACAUGCAAGUCGAACGGCAGCACGGCAGUAGCAAUACUGUGGGUGGCGAGUGGCGGACGGGUGAGGAAUACAUCGGGAUCUACCCUGUUGUGGGGGAUAACGUAGGGAAACUUACGCUAAUACCGCAUAAGAACUGAGGUUGAAAGCGGCGGACCGCAAGGCGUCGCGCGAUUGGAUGAACCGAUGUCCGAUUAGCUAGUUGGCGGGGUAAAGGCCCACCAAGGCGACGAUCGGUAGCUGGUCUGAGAGGACGACCAGCCACACUGGAACUGAGACACGGUCCAGACUCCUACGGGAGGCAGCAGUGGGGAAUAUUGGACAAUGGGCGCAAGCCUGAUCCAGCCAUGCCGCGUGGGUGAAGAAGGCCUCGGGUUGUAAG
rnacentral:rRNA from 1 species